AUGAUCUCGACAGAAAAGAGGAUAGUGGCGGCGGGGGAAAAGACGAGUGAGGAAGCUUUGAAGGAGGAGGCGGAGAUGGAGGGGGCAUCCGGGAAGCUCGCGGGGCUGCAGUCUAUCGUUUUACCUCCCGGCCAAACGACUAUGGAGUCCCGUGGCAGGAAGAAUCAUACGCGUGCAGAUAUGCUGGUAAAUAUACACAAGGCGCUUUUAGUAUUGGAAGGCAUGAUGAUGGAUAUAGCACCGGAUGAGUCGAAGGACACGCCCGAGGAUCACAUGUCCAACUCCGGCAGCAGUUCCGGCAAGCAGACUGUCCGCUCAGAAGCCGUUCCGAGAUUGGGGAAACAAGUUUUUUCACCUGCAAUGGAUUCGUUGAACAUGAUCAGUGGCUGGUACCCCAAUUUAGUUAAGAUAAGAAAGGGAUCAUAA
rnacentral:rRNA from 1 species